rnacentral:rRNA from 1 species
AUUGAACGCUGGCGGCAGGCCUAACACAUGCAAGUCGAACGGUAGCACAGAGAGCUUGCUCUCGGGUGACGAGUGGCGGACGGGUGAGUAAUGUCUGGGAAACUGCCCGAUGGAGGGGAUAACUACUGGAAACGGUAGCUAAUACCGCAUAAUGUCGCAAGACCAAAGAGGGGGACCUUCGGGCCUCUUGCCAUCGGAUGUGCCCAGAUGGGAUUAGCUUGUAGGUGAGGUAACGGCUCACCUAGGCGACGAUCCCUAGCUGGUCUGAGAGGAUGACCAGCCACACUGGAACUGAGACACGGUCCAGACUCCUACGGGAGGCAGCAGUGGGGAAUAUUGCACAAUGGGCGCAAGCCUGAUGCAGCCAUGCCGCGUGUAUGAAGAAGGCCUUCGGGUUGUAAAGUACUUUCAGCGGGGAGGAAGGGAGUGAGGUUAAUAACCUUAUUCAUUGACGUUACCCGCAGAAGAAGCACCGGCUAACUCCGUGCCAGCAGCCGCGGCAAUACGGAGGGUGCAAGCGUUAAUCGGAAUUACUGGGCGUAAAGCGCACGCAGGCGGUCUGUCAAGUCGGAUGUGAAAUCCCCGGGCUCAACCUGGGAACUGCAUUCGAAACUGGCAGGCUGGAGUCUUGUAGAGGGGGGUAGAAUUCCAGGUGUAGCGGUGAAAUGCGUAGAGAUCUGGAGGAAUACCGGUGGCGAAGGCGGCCCCCUGGACAAAGACUGACGCUCAGGUGCGAAAGCGUGGGGAGCAAACAGGAUUAGGUACCCUGGUAGUCCACGCUGUAAACGAUGUCGACUUGGAGGUUGUUCCCUUGAGGAGUGGCUUCCGGAGCUAACGCGUUAAGUCGACCGCCUGGGGAGUACGGCCGCAAGGUUAAAACUCAAAUGAAUUGACGGGGGCCCGCACAAGCGGUGGAGCAUGUGGUUUAAUUCGAUGCAACGCGAAGAACCUUACCUACUCUUGACAUCCAGAGAACUUAGCAGAGAUGCUUUGGUGCCUUCGGGAACUCUGAGACAGGUGCUGCAUGGCUGUCGUCAGCUCGUGUUGUGAAAUGCUGGGUUAAGUCCCGCAACGAGCGCAACCCUUAUCCUUUGUUGCCAGCGGUCCGGCCGGGAACUCAAAGGAGACUGCCAGUGAUAAACUGGAGGAAGGUGGGGAUGACGUCAAGUCAUCAUGGCCCUUACGAGUAGGGCUACACACGUGCUACAAUGGCAUAUACAAAGAGAAGCGACCUCGCGAGAGCAAGCGGACCUCAUAAAGUAUGUCGUAGUCCGGAUUGGAGUCUGCAACUCGACUCCAUGAAGUCGGAAUCGCUAGUAAUCGUGGAUCAGAAUGCCACGGUGAAUACGUUCCCGGGCCU